rnacentral:rRNA from 1 species
CCUACGGGAGGCAGCAGUGGGGAAUAUUGCACAAUGGGCGCAAGCCUGAUGCAGCGACGCCGCGUGCGGGAUGGAGGCCUUCGGGUUGUAAACCGCUUUUGUUCAAGGGCAAGGCACGGUCGUUGGCCGGGUUGAGUGGAUGGUUCGAAUAAGCACCGGCUAACUACGUGCAAGCAGCCGCGGUAAUACGUAGGGUGCAAGCGUGAUCCGGAUUUAUUGGGGGUAAAGGGCUCUUAGGCGGUUCGUCGCGGCCGGUGUGUAAGGCCAUCGCUUAACGGUGGAUCCGCGCCGGGUACGGGCGGGCUUGAGUGCGGUAGGGGAGACUGGAAUUCCCGGUGUACCGGUG